AUUGAACGCUGGCGGCAUGCCUUACACAUGCAAGUCGAACGGUAACAGGUCUUCGGAUGCUGACAAGUGGCGAACGGGUGAGUAAUACAUCGGAACGUGCCCGAUCGUGGGGGAUAACGGAGCGAAAGCUUUGCUAAUACCGCAUACGAUCUACGGAUGAAAGCAGGGGACCGCAAGGCCUUGCGCGGACGGAGCGGCCGAUGGCAGAUUAGGUAGUUGGUGGGAUAAAAGCUUACCAAGCCGACGAUCUGUAGCUGGUCUGAGAGGACGACCAGCCACACUGGGAAUGAGACACGGCCCAGACUCCUACGGGAGGCAGCAGUGGGGAAUUUUGGACAAUGGGCGAAAGCCUGAUCCAGCCAUGCCGCGUGCAGGAUGAAGGCCUUCGGGUUGUAAACUGCUUUUGUACGGAACGAAAGGCCUCUUUCUAAUAAAGGGAGGUCAUGACGGUACCGUAAGAAUAAGCACCGGCUAACUACGUGCCAGCAGCCGCAGUAAGAC
rnacentral:rRNA from 1 species